GACGAACGCUGGCGGCGUGCUUAACACAUGCAAGUCGAACGGAAAGGCCCUGCUUUUGUGGGGUGCUCGAGUGGCGAACGGGUGAGUAACACGUGAGUAACCUGCCCUUGACUUUGGGAUAGCUUCAGGAAACUGGGGCUAAUACCGGAUAGGAGCUCCUGCUGCAUGGUGGGGGUUGGAAAGUUUCGGCGGUUGGGGAUGGACUCGCGGCUUAUCAGCUUGUUGGUGGGGUAGUGGCUUACCAAGGCUUUGACGGGUAGCCGGCCUGAGAGGGUGACCGGCCACAUUGGGACUGAGAUACGGCCCAGACUCCUACGGGAGGCAGCAGUGGGGAAUAUUGCACAAUGGGCGGAAGCCUGAUGCAGCAACGCCGCGUGCGGGAUGACGGCCUUCGGGUUGUAAACCGCUUUCGCCUGUGACGAAGCGUGAGUGACGGUAAUGGGUAAAGAAGCACCGGCUAACUACGUGCCAGCAGCCGCGGUGAUACGUAGGGUGCGAGCGUUGUCCGGAUUUAUUGGGCGUAAAGGGCUCGUAGGUGGUUGAUCGCGUCGGAAGUGUAAUCUUGGGGCUUAACCCUGAGCGUGCUUUCGAUACGGGUUGACUUGAGGAAGGUAGGGGAGAAUGGAAUUCCUGGUGGAGCGGUGGAAUGCGCAGAUAUCAGGAGGAACACCAGUGGCGAAGGCGGUUCUCUGGGCCUUUCCUGACGCUGAGGAGCGAAAGCGUGGGGAGCGAACAGGCUUAGAUACCCUGGUAGUCCACGCUGUAAACGGUGGGUACUAGGUGUGGGGUCCAUUCCACGGGUUCCGUGCCGUAGCUAACGCUUUAAGUACCCCGCCUGGGGAGUACGGCCGCAAGGCUAAAACUCAAAGGAAUUGACGGGGCCCCGCACAAGCGGCGGAGCAUGCGGAUUAAUUCGAUGCAACGCGUAGAACCUUACCUGGGUUUGACAUGGAUCGGGAGUGCUCAGAGAUGGGUGUGCCUCUUUUGGGGUCGGUUCACAGGUGGUGCAUGGCUGUCGUCAGCUCGUGUCGUGAGAUGUUGGGUUAAGUCCCGCAACGAGCGCAACCCUUGUUCACUGUUGCCAGCACGUUAUGGUGGGGACUCAGUGGAGACCGCCGGGGUCAACUCGGAGGAAGGUGGGGAUGACGUCAAGUCAUCAUGCCCCUUAUGUCCAGGGCUUCACGCAUGCUACAAUGGCUGGUACAGAGAGUGGCGAGCCUGUGAGGGUGAGCGAAUCUCGGAAAGCCGGUCUCAGUUCGGAUUGGGGUCUGCAACUCGACCUCAUGAAGUCGGAGUCGCUAGUAAUCGCAGAUCAGCAACGCUGCGGUGAAUACGUUCCCGGG
rnacentral:rRNA from 1 species